UACUUAGGGUGCAAGCGUUAAUCGGAAUUACUGGGCGUAAAGCGUGCGCAGGCGGUUUUGUAAGUCUGACGUGAAAUCCCCGGGCUCAACCUGGGAAUUGCGUUGGAGACUGCAAGGCUAGAAUCUGGCAGAGGGGGGUAGAAUUCCACGUGUAGCAGUGAAAUGCGUAGAGAUGUGGAGGAACACCGAUGGCGAAGGCAGCCCCCUGGGUCAAGAUUGACGCUCAUGCACGAAAGCGUGGGGAGCGAACAGG
rnacentral:rRNA from 1 species